GACGAACGCUGGCGGCGUGCUUAACACAUGCAAGUCGAACGGAAAGGCCCUGCUUUUGUGGGGUGCUCGAGUGGCGAACGGGUGAGUAACACGUGAGUAACCUGCCCUUGACUUUGGGAUAACUUCAGGAAACUGGGGCUAAUACCGGAUAGGAGCUCCUGCUGCAUGGUGGGGGUUGGAAAGUUUCGGCGGUUGGGGAUGGACUCGCGGCUUAUCAGCUUGUUGGUGGGGUAGUGGCUUACCAAGGCUUUGACGGGUAGCCGGCCUGAGAGGGUGACCGGCCACAGUGGGACUGAGAUAAGCCCCAGACUCCUACGGGAGGCAGCAGUGGGGAAUAUUGCACCAUGGGCGGAAGCCUGAUGCAGCAACGCCGCGUGCGGGAUGACGGCCUUCGGGUUGUAAACCGCUUUCGCCUGUGACGAAGCGUGAGUGACGGUAAUGGGUAAAGAAGCACCGGCUAACUACGUG
rnacentral:rRNA from 1 species